ACAAUAAAAUUUAUAGUAAAAGGAAAAUCCGUUGACUUUUUAAAUCGUGAG
rnacentral:tRNA from 1 species